UACGGGAGGCAGCAGUGAGGAAUAUUGGUCAAUGGACGAGAGUCUGAACCAGCCAAGUAGCGUGCAGGAUGACUGCCCUAUGGGUUGUAAACUGCUUUUAUGCGGGAAUAAAGUCAGGUACGUGUACCUGUUUGUAUGUACCGCAUGAAUAAGGACCGGCUAAUUCCGUGCCAGCAGCCGCGGUAAU
rnacentral:rRNA from 1 species